rnacentral:rRNA from 1 species
GAUGAACGCUGGCGGCGUGCCUAAUACAUGCAAGUCGAGCGAACAGACGAGGAGCUUGCUCCUCUGACGUUAGCGGCGGACGGGUGAGUAACACGUGGAUAACCUACCUAUAAGACUGGGAUAACUUCGGGAAACCGGCGCUAAUACCGGAUAAUAUAUUGAACCGCAUGGUUCAAUAGUGAAAGACGGUUUUGCUGUCACUUAUAGAUGGAUCCGCGCCGCAUUAGCUAGUUGGUAAGGUAACGGCUUACCAAGGCAACGAUGCGUAGCCGACCUGAGAGGGUGAUCGGCCACACGGGAACUGAGACACGGUCCAGACUCCUACGGGAGGCAGCAGUAGGGAAUCUUCCGCAAUGGGCGAAAGCCUGACGGAGCAACGCCGCGUGAAUGAUGAAGGUCUUCGGAUCGUAAAACUCUGUUAUUAGGGAAGAACAAAUGUGUAAGUAACUAUGCACGUCUUGACGGUACCUAAUCAGAAAGCCACGGCUAACUACGUG